UCCUCGGGGCAAAGGGAAAUCAUCCUCCCCGUAUAGCACUGACUCGCCAUCUGAGUCCACUUCGCGCCUACGAAGCUUGGCCAAAGGAAUAUCAGGAGCCUGUCUAGCUUCUCUUAAACCGCGAUUGUAGCCAGUUACAUACAUGCGGAAGGCCUUAUCAAUGAUAGCCUGUUUCAUUUCACCAGAAGCUUUAUACUCAUCAAGAUGUUCUUCACACGCCUCAGCUACAAAUUCCUUAAAUUCAGAAGAGUCUUUGUAAUCCUGAAGAUGAGCUUCACAUGCCUGUUCAAUUUUAACCUUCAGCUCAUCAGACUCCUGAUACUCCGCUAUAUACUGUUCACGCUUUAGCUGAGCCUUCCCUUCGGCACACUUUACCACCUCGAGCAGGGCUAAACAUUUACGUUCCAAAGCCCUGACUUCAUUUUUUAGCUGUUGUUGGCGAAGGUUGAAUUCUUCAGCCGAUGAAGACAGAUCUUUGACACGUUCAGAACUUGUGCCCAAUUCCUGCUCAAGG
rnacentral:lncRNA from 1 species